CCGGCUGAUUGGUGAGGAUAAUUUCCCUAAGACUCUAACAUUUUGUAGGACUUGGAUAGCUCUAUUGCUGUAGAAAAUGUCAGGAUGGUGGAGAUUUAGAUAAGUGGUGUGAUGUUAUUGAUGGUAAACAGAAGACUGUGACCUUGAAUCUGAAGAUAUGUGAUGAAGACUGGAUGUUUGGGGUCACUCUCUGUUACAGUACUACAAAUCUAACAGUGCCCCACUCAGCCACAAAGAGGUUGUCUCUGAUGUCCACACAUAAACCGAAUGGAUCCUGUAAACCACAGUGAAUGUAACGGAGGAACUGUCCGUCCUGAUCUAGGAUGUGGAUACGGUCAUUGUCAUCGUCUGCUGUCAGGAUGUGACUCUGGCUGUCUGUAGUGAUGCCGCGUGGAGUAAAUGAUUGCUUGGUAUUAGAGGGAUGACCAGUGUAUCUAAAUCGGAGUUUUCCUGACUGAUUGACCACCACUACUGCUUUAGCGCCCCAG